CAGAAGCCAAGUUUUGCGUGCGCCAAAAAAUAUUUGGAUUUAUAAAACACUGCGUACGCACACCUGUACGCAAUCUUUGCUUUAUAAAUCACAUACUGGCUACAAUUGUGCGCAGCUGAAUCAGCUUCACGUUCCGCCCUCUACACGCCCCUUUUUAACCAUAAAUGGUCAAUGCAAAUGACCUCAUGAAUGCGAUCUGCAUAUAAAACAGACUCAGAUGCCGGUAUUAUGUCUUGUUGGAAACAAUGGCAGAAGUACUGAGAAAAUCAAAAAAGCGAAAUUUCACGGAGGUUGAAGUGGAGACUCUUGUGGGUGAGAUGGAGGCCCGAAAGGUAGUUUCGUUCGGCGGUCACGGGAUUGGGAUCGCCAACAACAAAAAGCAGAUCUCAUCUCAUCUCAUCUUCGUCCGCUUAUCCGGGGUCGGGAUGCGGGGGGAGCAGCUCAAGCAGGGGGCCCCAGACUUCCCUUUCCCGGGCCACAUUGACCAGCUCUGACGGGGGGAUCCCGAGGCGUUCCCAGGCCAGUGUUGAGAUAUAAUCUCUCCACCUAGUCCAGGGUCUUCCCCGAGGUCUCCUCCCCACUGGACGUACCUGAAACACCUCCCAAGGGAGGCACCCAGUGGGCAUCCUUACCAGAUGCCCGAACCACCUCAGCUGACUCCUUUCUAAGUAAAGGAGCAGCGGCUCUAAUCCGAGUUCCUCACGGAUGGCUGAGCUUCUCACCCUAUCCCUAAAGGAGACGCCAGCCACCCUUCUGCGAAAACUCAUCUCGGCCGCUUGUACCCGCAAUCUCGUCCUUUCGGCCAUCACCCAACCCUCAUGACCAUAGGUGAGGAUAGGAACGAAGAUCGACCGGUAGAUCGAGAGCUUUGCCUUGCGGCUCAGCUCUCUUUUCGUUACAACGGUGCGGUAAAGCGAACGCAAUACCGCCCCCGCUGCUCCGAUUCUCCGGCCAAUCUCACGCUCCAUAGUACCCUCACUCGCAAACAAGACCCCGAGGUAGCCUACUUGAACUCCUUCACUUGGGCUAAGGAUUACAGAUGUUUACAGUGUCACAUAAAAAUAUGAUGUUAUUGACACAUGUUGGACAGAUGCUCUAUUCCAUGCAGUCGCGCCGUCAGUGGACAGUAUGGUGGAGUAACGGGAUUAAAUAUAGAGAAUUUCUUUUUAUUUCUAUUCUAAGGAGAUAUUUCUGGAGUUAUAACUGAGAAAUAACGCAGUGGACUUAAAUUAUUCUGAUUAGGAUUUAAAGCAUUAUACGGGUUGAAAUUAAAUUUAUGAAGGGCGAUGAUAAAACAUAAUCGUUCUUCUCACUCUGCAAUUCUUCGGUCUGACUUCAGUUCACCACCACACCGUCUGUGUCGCCAAUUCUCCUUUUCCUACAAACCAUGCGUACGCAUGGGUCAGAGUUUGCUUAGGGCUGCGCACAUUUUCCCGUCAAGUUGGUUUUUUAUAGAUCACAACCUUGGCGUGAAAAGUCACGUACACAAAUUUCAGCCCCGUUUUGUGCGCACGCAACGGUUAUAAAUGAGGCCCCAG
ensembl:lncRNA